rnacentral:rRNA from 1 species
AGCAGUGAGGAAUAUUGGUCAAUGGAGGCAACUCUGAACCAGCCAUGCCGCGUGAAGGAAGAAUGUCCUACGGAUUGUAAACUUCUUUUAUUUGGGAAGAACUCCCUCUACGUGUAGAGGGCUGACGGUACCAAACGAAUAAGGACCGGCUAACUCCGUGCCAGCAGCCGCGGUAAUACGGAGGGUCCAAGCGUUAUCCGGAAUCAUUGGGUUUAAAGGGUUCGCAGGCGGUUUAUUAAGUCAGUGGUGAAAGCCUACAGCUCAACUGUAGAACUGCCAUUGAUACUGAUAGACUUGAAUUUAGUUGAAGUAGGCGGAAUGUGUAGUGUAGCGGUGAAAUGCUUAGAUAUUACACAGAACACCGAUAGCGAAGGCAGCUUACUAAACUACGAUUGACGCUCAUGAACGAAAGCGUGGGGAGCGAACAGGAUUAGAUACCCUGGUAGUCCACGCAGUAAACGUGAUUACUCGUUAUUGGCGAUAUACGGUCAGUGACUAAGCGAAAGUGA